rnacentral:rRNA from 1 species
UACGUAGGGUGCGAGCGUUGUCCGGAAUUAUUGGGCGUAAAGAGCUCGUAGGCGGUGUGUCACGUCGGCCGUGAAAACCUGCAGCUUAACUGUGAGCGUGCGGUCGAUACGGGCAUCACUGGAGUUCGGCAGGGGAGACUGGAAUUCCUGGUGUAGCGGUGAAAUGCGCAGAUAUCAGGAGGAACACCGGUGGCGAAGGCGCCACUCUGGGCCGAAACUGACGCUGAGGAGCGAAAGCGUGGGUAGCAAACGGG